rnacentral:rRNA from 1 species
GACGAACGCUGGCGGCGUGCUUAACACAUGCAAGUCGAACGGAAAGGCCCUGCUUUUGUGGGGUGCUCGAGUGGCGAACGGGUGUGUAACACGUGAGUAACCUGCCCUUGACUUUGGGAUAACUUCAGGAAACUGGGGCUAAUACCGGAUAGGAGCUCCUGCUGCAUGGUGGGGGUUGGAAAGUUUCGGCGGUUGGGGAUGGACUCGCGGCUUAUCAGCUUGUUGGUGGGGUAGUGGCUUACCAAGGCUUUGACGGGUAGCCGGCCUGAGAGGGUGACCGGCCACAUUGGGACUGCGAGACGGCCCAGACGGCUACGGGAGGCAGCAGGGGGGAAUAUUGCACAAUGGGCGGAAGCCUGAUGCAGCGACGUCGCGUGCGGGAUGACGGCCUUCGGGUGGGAAACCGCUUUCGGCUGUGACGAAGCGUGAGUGACGGUAAUGGGUAAAGAAGCACCGGCUAACUACGUG